rnacentral:rRNA from 1 species
AGAGAUGUGUGAUGACGCAUAUCAAUAAGCGGAGGAAAAGAAACUAACAAGGAUUCCCUUAGUAACGGCGAGCGAAGCGGGAAGAGCUCAAAUUUGAAAUCUUCAAGGUUCUACCUUGACGAAUUGUAGUUUAUAAGAAGUGUUUUCUGUUAGUGGAGUGGCAAAAGUUCUUUGGAAUAGGACAUCAUAGAGGGUGAGAAUCCCGUAUUUGGUCAUUCCUCCUAGCUUUGUGAUACACUUUCAACGAGUCGGAUUGUUUGGGAAUGCAGUCCAAAAUGGGUGGUAAAUUUCAUCUAAAGCUAAAUAUUGGCGAGAGACCGAUAGCGAACAAGUACCGUGAGGGAAAGAUGAAAAGAACUUUGAAAAGAGAGUUAAACAGUACGUGAAAUUGUCAAAAGGGAAGCGUUUGACACCAGUGUUGUUUUUCCGAAAAUCAAUUACGAAUGUUUUAUUUUUGAGGAGUUAUGACUUCAUCGGCUUGCUCCUUUCUUUAUGAAACUUUCUUAAUGCACUUUUCGGUUAACAAGUCAACAUCAAUUUCUUUUGUUGUAAAAGGGUAUGAGGAAGGUGGCUUUCUUUUCGGAGAAAGUGUUUAUAGCCUUGUGCCUCUGCAAUCGGAGAGAUUGAGGUCUGCAGCGUAGAUCCUUCGGGGUUAGAUACGUUUGUGCUAAGUUAUAGCUUUUCAUAGACAACUUGUUGACUAUGUUUAGUCUUGUAGCUUACUCGCUUACUGCUAUUUUACCUACGCUUAGGAUGUUGAACUCUAUCACACACAG